CGGAAAGCGCGCGCCAGCUGCACGCAGGGAAACAGUUCUCAUUUUGUGUGCUCGGCUGACUGCACGUCCAGCCUCGGGCCAGCUCGAGACGGCCACAUUGUGAGUCUGUGGGAGGGGUUCUACCGAGACGAAUGGACUUUUCUGAGGCAGGGCCCAGGAGCUGUAAUUCGAGGGGCCUCAGAUCUCCCUGCCACCCACCUGCCAGGGCCUGGUUGAAGAUGGCUGAGCGUAAAACAGAAUGCAAGUCAGCUGGAGCACGUACUACUGGAGGCAGAGCCCCAUGAGAAGGGGCCAAGAACCCGCACCCAUCAAAAUCAAGAAGAAAGGCUGAACCCGGAGAGAAAAGGGAGCAACUGAUGUUGCCAUGCAGAUCCCUUGGUUGCUAUGAGAUGGUAACAUCACUCUGCCCCACCAUUGGCCAGUGCCUCCUCAGCUGCGGUGCCUCCCAGGCUGUGUGGUUCUCACGCGGGCCACUGACACAGAGCUGUUACUAUGGUGAACUUUACAAUUUCCUUUGAUUGGUGGAUUUCAGAAAUAGGCCAUCAGCGGAAUUCAUUAUAUUCAGCUAAGUAAAAAUGAAAAAUAAAUACUAUAACUUUCCCCUCAUCACUAACAUGAAGGAAACGUGACCCUUCAUGACAUAAUAAAUCGCUGUUCGGUAACUUAGGAUCCUUCAGGGGACUGAAGCGGGAUGAUCCUCCUAUGCCAAAUUUGGGUGGGAAAGAUAUUCCCUGUAGCUUUGAGUCGACUCUUCAGAGUUAAGGGCAGUGGGCCAACCAGAGUUGGAACUUCAGAGUUGGGAGGAGGUGUGGGAUGGGGCAUGCAUUGAAAUGUAAACUCUAUUGUCUCUGAAGUGAUGGGUGAUGCUGGGGGCCUGAGUGUGGAGGGCAGUUUUACAUCUCAGGACAAUGUUUUCUCAGAUGCUCUUCCAGAAAGAAAAGCCAGGAGUACUCCUGGCUGGAGGCGGCAUGCCUGAGGUCAGAGUCAAAGUAGGGUUUGUGCUGUCUGAAUCCUUUCUCCCACUCUCCCCAGCCUGGCUCAGCUUCUCAGCUUCUCAGGUGGAUUGGUGAGUCCUGGCCAAUUACGCUUCAGCUCAUCUCUACUCUCAGCAAAUAGGAAAAGGGAGUGAAGGACUGAGUUUUAACUCUUCUAAUUUCGUAACCUGACUCUCUAUAAGAAAAAGUAGGAGAAAGACUGAAGAACCCGAGAGAACAGGCCUCUGAGCCCAAGCCAAGCCAUCGCAUCCCCUGUGACUUGCCCGUAUAUAUGCCCAGAUGGCCUGAAGUAACUGAAGAAUCACAAAAGAAGUGAAUAUGCCUUGCCCCACCUUGACUGAUGACAUUCCACCACAAAAGAAGUGUAAAUGGCCGGUCCUUGCCUUAACUGAUGACAUUACCUUGUGAAAGUCCUUUUCCUGGCUCAUCCUGGCUCAAAAAGCACCCCCACUGAGCAUCUUGCGACUCCCACUCCUGCCCACUGAGCACCUUGUGACCCCCACUCCUGCCUGCCAGAGAACAAACCCCCUUUGACUGUAAUUUUCCUUUACCUACCCAAAUCCUAUAAAACGGCUCCACCCUUAUCUCCUUUUGCUGACUCUCUUUUCUGACUCAGCCCGCCUGCACCCAGGAGAUUAAAAGCUUUAUUGCUCACACA
rnacentral:lncRNA from 10 species